rnacentral:misc_RNA from 1 species
UUUCCGUAGGUGAACCUGCGGAAGGAUCAUUAUCGUACUUGAUGUGAGGGGCAUGCGACGUCUGUGACUGACCAACAAGUCGUGCACGACGGAGCGUGUCGUCUUGACUAAUGAUCCAUCUCACCCUUUGUGCAUCACCGCGUGGGCACCCUUCGGCAUCAUCUCGGAGGGGGGCGCGCGUUUUCACACAAACACCCCUUAUCAAAGUGUAGAAUGACCACAUUUAUGCAACCUAUAAAACUUUCAACAACGGAUCUCUUGGCUCUC